rnacentral:rRNA from 1 species
GACGAACGCUGGCGGCGUGCUUAACACAUGCAAGUCGAACGGAAAGGCCCUGCUUGCAGGGUACUCGAGUGGCGAACGGGUGAGUAACACGUGGGUGAUCUGCCCUGCACUUCGGGAUAAGCCUGGGAAACUGGGUCUAAUACCGGAUAGGAGCCAUUUUUAGUGUGAUGGUUGGAAAGUUUUUUCGGUGUAGGAUGAGCUCGCGGCCUAUCAGCUUGUUGGUGGGGUAAUGGCCUACCAAGGCGGCGACGGGUAGCCGGCCUGAGAGGGUGGACGGCCACAUUGGGACUGAGAUACGGCCCAGACUCCUACGGGAGGCAGCAGUGGGGAAUAUUGCACAAUGGGCGCAAGCCUGAUGCAGCGACGCCGCGGGGGGGAUGACGGCCUUCGGGUUGUAAACUCCUUUCGCUAGGGACGAAGCUUUUUGUGACGGUACCUAGAGAAGAAGCACCGGCUAACUACGUG